rnacentral:lncRNA from 1 species
CCGCCAUGACAACAUCCUGGUGAUCUUCGACAAUGAAGCCCAAACCUCCGCUCAGUGUCUGUUGGACAAAGGCGCCAUCAGUGUUUAUCUUCUGUUGUCCUGAUGGUGGCGGUUUCCAUUUCUGAGCCGUCUUUGUUCUCUCUUCUCGUGAUUUGGUAUCCCUGUAUCAUCGAGCAGAUUGAUCACGCACUAGCAACUUCUUCGCAGGUCCCUUCUCCCCUUGAUUCAGUUUGUUGCGGACGAUCAUGUAAUACCCGAUUUUAACCGGAUAAAAUCAGAUAUGUACCAUAUGUGAGUCUUAAGAGCAUCUCCAACAGUUGGCCAUUUGUACUUUGCCAUUUG